AGAAUCGAACGAAAGGAUUGACUAACUCGCGUAACUCCUCUGCAAGCCUACAUCUAUCAGGUCUCCGCGAUAAAUCCUCUUUUUCCCAAGGUUCAAGAUUGUUGCAGAAAUCAUUCUUCUCCUUCACUUUCUUGUCUUUAUCGGCAAAAAAAAUCUGCUUACCAGGCACAGAUUAGUAAUUUUUGAUAUCCAACUAUUGUGUUUUGAGAUUUGUGAAAGUAUAGCUUUUCUACAUAUGUUAAGUCGUUUGUGAUAACCGACUGCUGUUAAAUUGACGUGCGAUUGAUUGGGUUUAUUCCUCCUCUACUAUUUUAUGAAUUGGUUCCUCUGUAUGUUUUCUAAGUCUACUGUUAUUCUUGUGAUUGUUCAGAAAUUUUCUACAUAUUGUGCUUCAAUUUCGUACUGGUUUCAUUGCCCCUUCGUAGCGUGUAUUUGGAAGAGGAGUUUUGGUCUUGUCCUCUUACUUGUUGAUAGAUAUUCUUGCAGUUCUUCCUCUACCAUAAGUUAGAGUGAUUUCUCUUAUUCUUUUUUUUGGUUGAUAAUAUCAACUUAAGGUUUAGCCCAAAAGGCAUGUACUAUUGAUGGCCAGACUUAAAAAUCUAGUAAAAUAAACUAUGUUGCUUAACCAACGAUAUCUGUUGUCUUGAGUGACCAGUUGUCCAUGGUGAUACAUUACCUAAUUAGAAGGUCAUGUCUCACUGUCCGUUUAUUUAGGCUCACUCAACCUUCUUGCUUUGUUUGGCCUUGGCUUCUUCAAUACCUUUGGUCUUUCUUUUAAAAAUGUUAUUGGAGUUUUAAUUUAAUAAAUAUUCUUAUUUAUUGGAUAACACAUGGUUGGUCGAUUGUGUGCAAGAUUUAUGCUGCUUCAAACAAACAAUCUGUCUGUCAUGGAGAAUGUAGAUUUUCAUGAUAAGCAAACCUUUUGGCAUUAAAUGAUUUUCUAAACUUCUAUUUUUUCAUGUGCUUCAUGAUAUUAAGGAUUUAGUAUGUUGUUAAGCUAGACUCACAGCUCUUAAAGAGACUGUACAGCGACUAGGUUGCUAACCAUAAUCAUGCUAGCUCAUUUCUAUGCAAAUACAAAUUCUAGAUUUAUUGUUUUUACUCAUGUCGUUUUUCUGUCUUUUCAGGUUGUAAUAUUAAUUCUAAUUCCUAAAUUGUGGGUGCUAGAUCUUUGAGCAGGAAGAAUUUACUAAAAUUUGUUGUCUUCUUCCAAUAUAUUCCGAGGCUCCUUCGAGUUUAUCCUUUAUAUAAGGAAGUCACUAGAACUUCUGGCAUACUCACUGAAACAGCAUGGGCUGGAGCUGAGUUCAAUCUUUCUUUAUAUGCUUGCCAGUCAUGUACUUGGAACGUUUUGGUACCUCUUUACAAUAAAACGUGAAUCUACUUGUUGGCAACGAGCAUGUGGAAAUUCAUCUGCGUGUCAUCACUCUUCAUUGCUAAAUAGUUCAUGUCCUAUAGAUACACCAAACGCAACGCUUUUUGAUUUUGGGAUAUUCCUUGACGCCUUCUAA